CUACGGGUGGCACCAGUCACGAAUCUUCCUCAAUGGCCGAAAGGCUGAAGGAGCGACGCCGCGUGCAGGAAGACGCCCUUCGGGGUGUAAACUGCUUUUAACCGGGAAGAAACCAUGACGGUACCGGUUGAAUAAGGGGCUGCUAACCUCGUGCCAGCAGCAGCGGUAAUACGAGGGCCCCAAGCGUUAUCCGGAUUUAUUGGGUGAAAGGGUCCGCAGGCGGUUUAGCGCAUCUCCUGUUAAAUCUCAAGGCCCAACCUUGAGGCCGCGGGAGAGAUGGUUAAACUAGAGAUCGGGAGAGGCACAUGGAAUUGCUGGUGUAGGGGUUAAAUCCGUUAAUAUCAGCAGGAACGCCAAAUGCGAAAGCAGUGUGCUGGAACGAUUCUGACGCUCAGGGACGAAAGCGUGGGUAGCGAAUGGGAUUAGAUACCCCCGUAGUC
rnacentral:rRNA from 1 species